UUCCCCCUCCACUUUCCUCCAUUUAUUAAAAAAUAGCAGCCUCCUUUCAUGGAUUUUUGACUUGAAUGUCUGUCCUCCUACUCAAGGUUUCUCAAAUCACUUCACUUUGGAAAUCUGUUACUAUGGAUGGGUUUUAAAAUAGUGGGCAACAGCUGCCUCUGCUCCACGUGAUGUCUCUGGGGCCACAAAAACAUGUUGUAUUGUGAGGUGCAUUGUUAGAAUUGAAAAAGAAAGAAUCCAAUGGGAAACAACCAUAUGGGGAGGGUAAAAACAAAGAGGUGAAUAGCCACACUUUCUGGUAGGUGGGUUCAAGGCAAAGAGAGAGCUGGAAAAUUGUUUGAUCAAGUCUGUGGUACCCUGCACAUUGAAAUGUUACCACUUCUGAAGAUUUGGAUGUUGGGAAUGGUUUAUCGGUAGUCUGGCACACUUUUCCUUUCUGAGCACUGGGAGCCUGAAUUACCAUCCCAGUGCUUAACAGCAUGUGCUCAUCCCUUUGGAAAGCACAGAUCUGCUGCUUCUAGUUCAGUUUAAGGUCACAAUUCAGUCUGGUUUCCAGUUCUAUUUUGGAUCAGAGGAGACCCCUGGUAUGCCUUAUUUCUCUUCGUAUUUUAUUUUUUGCAUGUGUUGAUUUUGUUCCUGCCUUCAGUAUGUUCCUGAAGGACAAAGUUUGCUUUCCCACGGCCGUCACAAACUGCCAUUUGAAUUUUUCUCUCUUUUCUUUUCUCUCAGCCUUAAUUUCAUGCCCAUGCAGAACUCCUAGCCCUGUGUCACAUCUAAAGGUUACGUCCAGUGCUUCAGCUGGAGCUGCAGAAGGCAUGCCCAGCAGCCAGCCAGGGUGCCUGCCCUGCUGUAGAGUAGAUGGCCAAGAGAUCCCUGCUGUUUUUAAUAGCUCUCUGACGCUCUUGGCCAGCAAACGUGGCACAUUUCAUUAUAACUCAGUUUUCACACAGGCAGGUGACCUUUGUGGUGAUGAAGUUAAGCAUCUCAGCCUUUUGCCAUCUUUUUUGAGAGCUGGUGGCAGUUUCCUUGCUGCUGGGUUGUGCGCUCCUCAGAGUUCAUCCAGAGCAUAGGCUUGUGUGCUGGCAGGGGCAGGGUCCUGAUCCACUUCAUAACAAAUCACACUCUGCCUCUGCCAGGUUCCCUGGACUUACCUUCACAGUGCACAUCUUCUGUGAGCUUCCAGUGUUGGGCAGCUCAGGGUUGCCUGCUCAGCUUAAGGAUGUGGGAGAAAAACGAAGCAGUGAAGUGCCAAAUGAGUUAUUGGAGGAGCCCCAGCUUGGCAUUUGCAGCCAGGGGAAGGAGACUUGUCUGCUGAGCCUCAGUCCAAGGGAGACACGUCCACUGAAAUAUGUAAGAUGAUCCUAGGGGUCUUUUCCAACCUCCAUGAUUCUAUGCUUCUGUGCUCUCAGAUGUCACCUCCAAACCUCUGUUCUCUGAGUUUCUUCCCUUUGAAUGGUAUUCCGAUGUUUGGAGAAUUGUUGAUGCAUCACAUUGAGACUUUAUAGGCUUGAAUCCAACCUGAUUCUCCCAGUUUUAACAGAGCCCCCAGGUUACCUUCAAUAGGAGUGCGAGAUAGCUCCUAUUCAGAUCAGAGCCAUAGCAGGAUGGCAUGUGCAGCUUCCAUCAUCUGAAGUUUCUCAAGGUUUCAGUUUGUCUGCAUGGGCACAGCAUGACGUUUUUACGAUAAAAGGUGUGUGUCAAUCUGUGUACAGCUCUGGUACAGCCCUUGUUUCUGCUGUCUGUGUCCUGCAGAGGCUUCCACUGGAGAUACAGAGGAUCUGUGGUUACACACGUCACAUUUAAAUCUUGCUGCGAGGAAAGCAAGUAGAGGAUACCAAGAUGUUUCUUGUGAGGAAUGUCUCUUAAUUCCUCCCACACUGAUAUAGCCUGUCACAAAUCAGGGAAGUGAGUACUAAUAGCAUUGCUCCUCUUUCACAAAGCAAGUAAUUCAAUACUCACUCAUACAACACAGAGCCAGUGGUGCUCAGUGAUGCUGUGGUCUCCCCCUCGUUGGUGGGAGUGUGCCUUAAAGGAGAGGCAGCUAUAAUAAAACUCAGCCAAAUGGUGGAAACAUGAUCAACUCCUCAACCCGAUCGGAGCCAGCAGCCGCCGAGUGGAACAUUUGCUCUUGCUCUGUGUGCAGCUGCAUGCUGUAGCGUACUAUUUAUGGGCCAGACUCCAAUGGGAUUUAUGGACGACGAAGCACUACCAACAGAUUUGAUUACUGCCUGAGAUCACUGCAAAUGCUGCAGCAAACUGCAACAGCCGCAAAAUGAGGGCAGUCUGACGCGUGUCAUGCCAGUGAGAAAUUCCCCAGCAAUGAGGGGAUGGAGCUAAAUGGCUCCACACAGGCGCAGGAUUAUGUUCCCUUCUUAAGGCUUCUGCGGUUGUUUUGAGCACCUCUGGGCCUCCUCUGUCACUGGUUGUCUUCCUCACUGAGAGCGAGCUGAGCUGAAUCUUGUUAUCCACGCAGGAGCUUCUAAGGGAGCAGUUUUGAUGCUGAGAUAUCAGAAACCCUGCACAACGCAAUGAUAUGAUGGUUUUCUCCAGGUCUCAGAGCAGCUACCCAGAUCUUCAUGCUCACCUCUGCUUUCAGAGAGCAGAGAGAAGACAAGCUCUUGCUCAAGUGCUAAAGCACCACAAGAGGCUGAAAACAGUCUCUACCAUAUGACUGUUCUGCUGAUCAAACAGAAGAAAAAUCGUGUUUUGGCUUCCCCACAAGUUCUUUUGGUUGCACUACCACUGCAAACAGUUCUGUUGGUGGGAGAAGAGCAGCGGCAAGGGAAAGCAUUCCCCUCAUGUCGAGCAGAAUGGAUAAAAGUGGUGACAGCUCCACUACAGUGCUGACAAGACCAGCAGGG